rnacentral:rRNA from 1 species
UACGAAGGGGGCGAGCGUUGUUCGGAUUUACUGGGCGUAAAGGGCGCGUAGGCGGCCUCGUCCGUCCGGCGUGAAAUGCCUGGGCUCAACCUAGGAAUUGCGCUCGAUACAGCGAGGCUAGAGUGUGGGAGAGGUUGGUGGAAUUCCCAGUGUAGAGGUGAAAUUCGUAGAUAUUGGGAAGAACACCGGUGGCGAAGGCGGCCAACUGGACCACAACUGACGCUGAGGCGCGAAAGCGUGGGGAGCAAACAGG